rnacentral:rRNA from 1 species
AGUCACUGACAUUAGACUACCCCCGUAGUCCCAGCCGUAAACUAUGCGCGUUAGGUGUACUGGUGACCACGAGUCGACCGGGGUGCCGAAGGGAAACCGUGAAACGUGCCGCCUGGGAAGUACGGUCGCAAGGCUAGAAACUUAAAGGAAUUGGCGGGGAGCACCACAACGGGUGGAGCCUGCGGUUUAAUUGGACUCAACGCCGGAAAUCUCACCGGAUAGGACAGACAUAUGAUAGUCGGGCUGAAGACUCUACUUGAUGAUCUG